ACGGGAGGCAGCAGUGGGGAAUGUUGCACAAUGGGCGCAAGCCUGAUGCAGCGACGCCGCGUGAGCGAAGAAGUAUUUCGGUAUGUAAAGCUCUAUCAGCAGGGAAGAAAAUGACGGUACCUGACUAAGAAGCUCCGGCUAAAUACGUGCCAGCAGCCGCGGUAAUACGUAUGGUGCAAGCGUUAUCCGGAUUUACUGGGUGUAAAGGGUGCGUAGGUGGCAUGGCAAGUCAGAAGUGAAAUGCGGGGGCUCAACCCCUGAACUGCUUUUGAAACUGUCAAGCUAGAGUAUAGGAGAGGAAAGCGGAAUUCCUAGUGUAGCGGUGAAAUGCGUAGAUAUUAGGAGGAACACCAGUGGCGAAGGCGGCUUUCUGGACUAAAACUGACACUGAGGCACGAAAGCGUGGGGAGCAAACAGGAUUAGAUACCCUGGUA
rnacentral:rRNA from 1 species